rnacentral:rRNA from 1 species
UAAUGGGUCAGCGACUUAUAUUCUGUAGCAAGGUUAACCGUAUAGGGGAGCCGCAGGGAAACCGAGUCUUAACUGGGCGUUAAGUUGCAGGGUAUAGACCCGAAACCCGGUGAUCUAGCCAUGGGCAGGUUGAAGGUUGGGUAACACUAACUGGAGGACCGAACCGACUAAUGUUGAAAAAUUAGCGGAUGACUUGUGGCUGGGGGUGAAAGGCCAAUCAAACCGGGAGAUAGCUGGUUCUCCCCGAAAGCUAUUUAGGUAGCGCCUCGUGAACUCAUCUUCGGGGGUAGAGCACUGUUUCGGCUAGGGGGUCAUCCCGACUUACCAACCCGAUGCAAACUACGAAUACCGAAGAAUGUUAUCACGGGAGACACACGGCGGGUGCUAACGUCCGUCGUGAAGAGGGAAACAACCCAGACCGCCAGCUAAGGUCCCAAAGUCAUGGUUAAGUGGGAAACGAUGUGGGAAGGCACAGACAGCCAGGAUGUUGGCUUAGAAGCAGCCAUCAUUUAAAGAAAGCGUAAUAGCUCACUGGUCGAGUCGGCCUGCGCGGAAGAUGUAACGGGGCUAAACCAUG